rnacentral:rRNA from 1 species
GCUAUCUGCAGUCGAGGGGCAGCAGGGGUAGCAAUACUCGCUGGCGACCGGCAAACGGGUGCGGAACACGUACGCAACCUUCCUUCAAGCGGGAGAUAGCCCGGAGAAAUCCGGAUUAAUAUCCCAUAGGAUUGUGGAUCGGCAUCGAUCAGCAAUUAAAGAUUUAUCACUUGAAGAUGGGCGUGCGUCUGAUUAGGUAGUUGGUGAGGUAACGGCUCACCAAGCCGACGAUCAGUAACUGGCGUGAGAGCGCGACCAGUCACACGGGCACUGAGACACGGGCCCGACUCCUACGGGAGGCAGCAGUAAGGAAUAUUGGUCAAUGGACGCAAGUCUGAACCAGCCAUGCCGCGUGGAGGAUGAAGGUCCUCUGGAUUGUAAACUUCUUUUAUCUGGGAAGAAAUGGUUGCUUUCUAGCGAUCUUGACGGUACCAGAUGAAUAAGCACCGGCUAACUCCGUGCCAGCAGCCGCGGUAAUACGGAGGGUGCAAGCGUUAUCCGGAUUCACUGGGUUUAAAGGGUGCGUAGGCGGAACAGAAAGUCCGUUGUGAAAUCUCCGAGCUUAACUCGGAAAUUGCGGUGGAUACUAUUGUUCUUGAAUACUGUUGAGGUUAGCGGAAUAUGUCAUGUAGCGGUGAAAUGCAUAGAUAUGACAUAGAACACCAAUUGCGAAGGCAGCUGGCUAAACAGAUAUUGACGCUGAGGCACGAAAGCGUGGGGAUCAAACAGGAUUAGAUACCCUGGUAGUCCACGCCCUAAACGAUGAUUACUCGACAUUUGCGAUACACAGCAAGUGUCUGAGCGAAAGCAUUAAGUAAUCCACCUGGGAAGUACGACCGCAAGGUUGAAAC